GCCCUGCUGGCCCAAUGGAUAAGGCACUCGGCUCCUAACUGAGAGAUUCUGGGUUCGAGUCCCAGGUAGGGCG
rfam:Galdieria sulphuraria unplaced genomic scaffold scaf_22, whole genome shotgun sequence.